GGGAAAUUUUCCGCAAUGGGUGAAAGCCUGACGGAGCAACGCCGCGUGAGGGACGAAGGCCUCUGGGCUGUAAACCUCUUUUCUCAAGGAAGAAGAUAUGACGGUACUUGAGGAAUAAGCCACGGCUAAUUCCGUGCCAGCAGCCGCGGUAAUACGGGAGUGGCCAGCGUUAUCCGGAAUUAUUGGGCGUAAAGCGUCCGCAGGCGGCUUUUCAAGUCUGCUGUUAAAGCGUGGAGCUUAACUCCAUCAUGGCAGUGGAAACUGAAAGGCUUGAGUAUGGUAGGGGCAGAGGGAAUUCCCGGUGUAGCGGUGAAAUGCGUAGAUAUCGGGGAAGAACACCAGUGGGCGAAGGCGCUCUGCUGGGGCCUUUACUGACGCUCAUGGACGAAAGCCAGGGAAGCGAAAGGGAAUAAAUUACCCCUGUAAUCC
rnacentral:rRNA from 1 species